UUAGAUACAAAAGUUUUACAGUACUAUUUCAAUCUGGGAUUGCAGUGCUAUCAUCACAACUACUGGCAUCCCAUGGUUUAUAUGCCACAUGUGCAGCAGCAGCUGCAGCCGCAGCCGCAGCCGCAGCCCCAGCCGCAGCCGCAGCCACAACCCCAGCCCCAGCCGCAGCCACAGCAGCCGCAACAGCAGCAGCCGCCGCCGCAACAACAGCAGCAACAACAAGAACAGGUUCAUGGAGAGAGUUAUCCAGAUUGUACUGAGCAACCCCUCGUAGACCAAAGUGCUCCUCAGGUGUACAGUGAUGUGGUGAGAGAGGAUGGCACACAGGCAGAUGUAUCAACAAAUGAUACUUUUCCCAUUGCUGAUGCUGUACCUCUCCCUCAUGGAGCAGUCUACUAUCCAGUAAUGACAGAUCCCUAUGGGUCUCCUUUGUUGGGAUUUGAUUCCUAUGUUCCUGUUGCAUCAGAUUAUUCCAGUAUUGCUAUGUGGCAUCCAGUUAAUGCAGCAUGUGGUGCUUCUGCGCAGAUCCAUGGUGCUAUGAAUCCCGGGCCAAUUGGCUAUAUGCUUCUACCUAACUCACCUCAUUAUACACCUCAGAAUUAAGAUUUAGCAAUAUGAAAUACUUUUUUGCUGCCAUCUUUGCUGUUAUGGUUCCUAAAUGUUUUACAUUAGUUCUUAAGUGGUUUAGUUGGGAAGAAUGUUAACUGUCUUUAAAAUUAUUUUACUUUUGAAGUAAAAUAUUUCUUUAAAACAAAGACAUAUUACUUUUUGUUAUGAAUAAGAAAAUUGCAAUGAAUGUACAACUCGUCCCUCUAAUGGGCAAGUUCAUUGGAGCCAGCUUCCUGGUAGCCAGCAUGUUAAAACUGUAUUAACUGAUGGUGCCAACUGAGAAAAGAAAGGAACAAAUACAAGCUAUUUUCCUAUACUAUACAUCUUAAUUAUUUAAAAAGUUAGUAUGAUUUCCAUUUUUCAAGACAUUUAAAGAGACAAAAAAAUCCAAACAGGAGCCUGUGCUCCUGGGUAUUUGUUUAUAUUACAUGAGAGUUCUUCAGAUUUCUUUUAAGAGUCGUCAGAACUGAAUUGUAGCCUGAUAUUAACCAGUUUUGAAGGCACAUGGUGUUCUGCUUUGCAUUUGCUACCAUAUGGUAUUGUUUAAUACUGGAUUUACAUAACUGUCCUACCGCACAGUAUUAUAGUAUCUUUUGCACAAUUUGCAGUAAAUA
rnacentral:lncRNA from 1 species